AUACCCAUGGUGAGGGCACCUUCUUAAUAAGUCAUUGUAUCUCUCCCAUGCAUCAUAAAGAGUUUCUAGAUCUAUCUGUACAAUGGAAGAGAUAUCAUUCCUCAAUUU
rfam:Gossypium arboreum cultivar AKA8401 contig_36213_3, whole genome shotgun sequence.